CUGCGAGUGAACAGGGAAUAGCCCAGCACCGAAGCCUGCGGUUAUUUGACUGCAAGGCAAUGUGGUGUUUAGGUUGGUUCCUGGCAUUACUGCUCUGCCCCAAGUCCAGCAAUGAGUACGGCAUACCGUUCUGGCCCAAAGAGGGUGAAAGGCCCGUGGGGGUAGAGACCAAGCAUGACAGUUCUGUCCAGAGCUAACCUUGGAGUCGGGUUGUUUGAGAAUGCAGCCCAAAGUGGGUGGUAAACUCCAUCCAAGGCUAAAUACUUACACGAGUCCGAUAGUAAACAAGUACCGUGAGGGAAAGUUGAAAAGUACUUUGAAGAGAGAGUAAACAGUGCGUGAAACCGCUCAGAGGUAAACGGGUGGAGUUGAACUGCGAUCCUUGGGAAUUCAGCUGAUGAGCAUGAUUUGUGCUUGGGCAUAUUGGCCGCCUUUCAGUGUCUGUCUAAUUACAGGUGCCUGCCUAUAGGUAGGUAUGUGUGGUGCGCUUAUCAUGUGCUGCACGCAUUGRAGGGUGUAUGGGUCUGCUUGUCAGUGCACUUUCUCAGGGUGUUCACCACGACCGGCACUGCUGUCUGUCUGCUGUAGUCAAACUGAUCAGGCCUGAUUAACGUUGGGCUUGGUUGGGUUGGUAGUUGAAUUUCUGGCCGACUAUAGUGGAUCUGUACGGUGUGUCGGAGACUGCGGCUAUAUAUAUGUGCUCUGUCCUUCAGGCGGGGUUGAGUCUGGUCGACUUGUUGCUGGUUUCGGCCGGUCAGUUGAUGGCUUGAUCCUGUUCAGCUGGCAGUUGCUUGUGUUUUAAUUUUGGCCAACAGUCUGUGGUGUUGUGGUAGACUAUCCACCUGACCCGUCUUGAAACACGGACCAAGGAGUUUAACAUGUGCGCGAGUCAUUGGGUAUUACGAAUCCCAAAGGCGUAGUGAAGGUAAAGGUUCGGCUUGUCCGGACUAAGGUGAGAUCCUGUUGUUUUGCUCUUUAACUCCAAGUCGCGAGCAGCAGGCGCAUCACCGGCCCGUCCCAUGACGUAGACAUGUGGCCUUGUGCUAUGUGCACCGUCGGGGCGGAGCAAGAGCGUACAUGUUGAGACCCGAAAGAUGGUGAACUAUGCUUGCGAAGGUUGAAGCCAGAGGAAACUCUGGUGGAGGACCGUAGCGAUUCUGACGUGCAAAUCGAUCGUAUAACGUGAGUAUAGGGGCG
rnacentral:rRNA from 1 species